UCUCUCCCUCACCCCCAUCUCAUAAACUUCUUAGCAAACUCAAAAUUCAGGUUAUGCUCAAACUAUUUCCUAACAUAUCCAUUUGGAUGGAACAAAGUCAGAUUUUUUAAGAGAACUGAUUAAUGGCAUUUGAUGUGCCAGAUUUUUGUGCUUUGCUAGGGCACAAGAUUAAUAGGUCAAAACAGGCUAGGAGGGACUAGGCUAGGGAAGUGGGAGAACUCUUGGAAUUAUUGGAGGUCUGUAUGGGUCCAAGUCAGUGAGGUUAGGCCAUCAAGAAUCAACAAAGUACUAUGGACAUAAGCAAGAAUGGAAUAUGAAGUCUGAAAUGUCAGAAGAUCAGAAGGAGCAGAGGUACGGUUAGGACUUGGUGUCUCUCCUUUCAAGAUGCCCAAUAUCAUAGAAAUUCUGAUUGGCUCCAGAGAGUUUUCUUCUGCAGCUUGGGAAACAUGUUCUCCUGAAAUAAUGAUGGAACAAUGACCCGCAGGAAAGAAGUGCCAUAAGAUCAUCUUCGCCAUCAAACAUAUUGAGUUCCUACUCUCCAGAGAGUCGCUCCUCCACAAAAGCUACUUCCUAAUAUUUGAUAUUCUACCAAUAACAAUGAUUCCUGAUUCCCAAGAUGUGGUCAACCUUAUUGCAAGGAUGAAUGAAGAGCCUAAAUAGAUCUUGAGUAUUUCUUACUCAGAAAGUUAUUUGGGACAAAGAACUGGAAUUCUAACUGCCUCGAUAUCAAGGAGUCAGAAGAAAAGAUUCAAUAUUUGCUUAGAGACAUUCUCCUUGGGUUUUGUUAAUGGGGUGGGUGGCUCAUAUUUUAAGAUUAUGAAUAAAGAGUUGUUACUCUGA